AAUUGAGCACCGGGGCAUUGGCAGGAAUUGUCAUUGGAAGCUUACUGGCAGUUGCAGUGUGUGGAGGUGUUGUUUUAACACUGUCCAAGAGAAAGUCUCCAGGAUUGAGGAAAAAUAUUUCUCUGACAAACAGAGAACAACAAGGUCAGCCAAGGCUAGUUAGUGGCAGCUCAGAGGAUGCUACCGACACAAUGAAUCCUGAUUUGCUCUAAGAUGGAGGCACUCAGUCUUCCAAGGAUGCUAGCAGUGGAGCAAGGACAUUAUGUCAAUUCUAUUUGUAUUGUUUGUUAACACAGGCAGCCUCGAUAAUUGCUCCUGGGUGUGGUUUUACCAUAUGAUCAUGUACUGGUAUUGAGGACGAAAUGGUAAUACAUUCACAUGCAUACGAAGGUUGAUGUUUGUUUGUAGAGAGCAGAUGACGAACUACAGAGCUGGCACAGAUCUACUGCAUGUUUUUUUGUGUACUACGAUUUCUGCUUUAUACUGUUAGUUUGCAGAGUAAUUGUGACAAACAUACAAUUUCUUUUGAACUCUGUUUUUCUUUGCUUUGCUGAACUGUCCAUGCUACUUAUUAUUUAUUCAGUUUUAAAUAGUAAUUUGUUAUAUCACACACAUAGUCGCGUAGGAUACUGUACUCUGAGUUGUCGCUGUUAGGCAUUUCUUCUGUAUGCUUAUGAUUGCAUGCAUUGCACUGUAGUUGUGCCCUCUAAGUUCCCUGUUGCGGCCGUGCAAAAAAAGUAAUUCAGCACCUUUCUUCUUUGAUUUCUCCUGCGUGAGAAGGAUUUUGGACUUCUCUUUUUAAUAUUCUUCAGAAACCUGCCUGCAGUUUUGUAUUUCGCUACGCUUUGCUAGGGUAUCUGUGUGAGGAUGUAUGCCCUCAACAGUAUUUUGUGUACUGUAAGGUGUGUUCAACACACUGACACCCACAACCAGUGAAUGAUAAUAAUGAUACAUGUAAUAAUGUUUAGAAUCAACUCGUAAAAACUCCAAGUCAAUCUUCAAUUGACACAAACCUCGUUUAUUCAACAUAAUCAUAUC